CAGACCAAAAGAUGAAAGGCAAAUGCUUCAUUUCAGACACUGUGGGGAAUAUAAAGAAGAAAAAGAUGAAAAAGUCCCUCUCUUCAAGCCCUCAGAGCAUAAGCAGCACCAGAUGACUAAGACGGAGAGAUAACUGAACAGGCUUGUGAACAAGGAGACAGUAGGCACAUUCAGUAGAGAGUGGUAAGUGAUGCAAAGAAGGAACAGCGAAAUUUCUGUUAUGAAAGCUCAUUGGAGCAACACUUAACGCAGUCUGGGCUGGGAUGUUCAGUGAAGGAGUCAGGGGAGGCUGUCUAGAUAUUUUAACAGAGAAAUAAAAUUAGGAAUUUUCUAAAACAGAGGAGAAGCCAUGGCAGGGAUGGGGAAAGCUACAGACUUUCGGGAAAGAAGACAGAACCUAUGCAAGGCCCAGCUGUGAGAGAGAGAGCCUGAGUACGUAUGCGCCCACGAAGAGUUCAGUGUGACCGAAAGCAAGGGGGUUAGGGAUUAAAGGAAGAGGGAUAAGUCGGAAGAGAAAACUAUGGUGCUUUCCUUUAAAAUCAGAUGUGUUGUGAUUAUGACAAUUUGUAACAUAAAAGAUAAUAUGAAAAUAUGUACUAAAAAUGCUUGACUUCUAAUAUAAUACACUAAAUAUCUAAUUAAGGAGCCCUGGUGGAGCAAUGGUUAAGUGCUAGGCUGCGAAUCAAA